CGAAAGCCUGACGGAGCAAUACCGCGUGAGGGAUGACGGCCUAUGGGUUGUAAACCUCUUUUUUCAGGGAGGAAUCAAAUGACGUGUACCUGAAGAAUAAGCAUCGGCUAACUCCGUGCCAGCAGCCGCGGUAAGACGGAGGAUGCAAGUGUUAUCCGGAAUCACUGGGCGUAAAGCGUCUGUAGGUGGUCCAAUAAGUCAACUGUUAAAUCUUGAGGCUCAACCUCAAAACCGCAGUCGAAACUGUUAGACUAGAGUAUAGUAGGGGUAAAGGGAAUUUCCAGUGGAGCGGUGAAAUGCGUAGAGAUUGGAAAGAACACCGAUGGCGAAGGCACUUUACUGGGCUAUUACUGACACUCAGAGACGAAAGCUAGGGUAGCA
rnacentral:rRNA from 1 species